UACGAGGGGGGCGAGCGUUGUUCGGAAUUAUUGGGCGUAAAGGGUGCGUAGGCGGCCUGACAAGUCUGAUGUGAAAUCCCUGGGCUCAACCCAGGGCCUGCAUCGGAAACUGUCGGGCUUGAGUAUGGGAGAGGUGAGUGGAAUUUCCGGUGUAGCGGUGAAAUGCGUAGAUAUCGGAAGGAACACCUGUGGCGAAAGCGGCUCACUGGACCAUUACUGACGCUGAGGAGCGAAAGCGUGGGGAGCGAACAGG
rnacentral:rRNA from 1 species